rnacentral:lncRNA from 1 species
UAGCAAACAGCCAAACUGAAAAUAUCCCAUUAGAAGUGUUUGAGAGUACAUGAUCAAGACACCUAGUGCACAAGGGUGCUUAUUGUAAUUAUAUUUAGGAAACAAGAUACGAUCUUAAAACAUAAAGCAAUAAUACGAGUUGAACAUCAAAACAAGAUAACACAACAAUUUCACAAACACAUCUCUCAGGCUUCUUUAUUUUGACAAGGUUAUGUAUGCAGGCUGCAAAUACAUGAUAUUUGUCCGCGUUACUAAUAGGGAUGAAGAAUGACACUGAAAGAGUCGAGGUAAUCCCCGUAGUUUCCGCUGAAUCCACCAAAGCUACCCUUAGCGACUGGCAGCGAGAAACUAGUCCCCUGGGUUGUGCCAUAUGGCCCAUACUUCUUUUUGUUGGUUAGGAAAGACAAUGACGUAAUCACAGUGUAGCCGGCAUAUACUCCCACAGUUCCGCUAAUCCCGAUGAGGUUCUCAUCAUCAGCAAAUGUAAACUGAAGAUAUACCCAAAUAGAUGAUAAAUGAUGUAUGAUAAAACUAGAAUAUAAGUGCAGUACAUGUUUAGGUAACAGAUGUAAUGAAAGCCCACUAUACCGUAUGAGGUGAACCACCAUCACCACCAUAUGUUUCAGAAUGGUGUUUGACAUUAUCACGAUCCUUGUAAGUGAACCUGAUUGAAUCUACACACCCUGAGGCACUGAUACGGAUCUCGCAAAUCCUGCCCUCAGGGAUGAAUGUCCAGGGAUUAACUCCACCCUUACCUCCCCACGGUCCAACCUGUACGCCAUUGCCUGCCUGCAUAUAGGGGUGAAAUAAAAUAUAUAACUAAGAAGUGGACAUAUCUUAGCAAUCAACAGAUGAAAUACACCAGGUUAACCAUAAACCCAGCAUUUCCAAAUAUAUAUGGUGAAAGAGUAUACCAUGUUUGAUCUGAAUGUAUUCUCAAAGGAAAAGAUGAAACUCGUGGAAAGUAAUAAGUUAUACAUUUAGCCCCAUUAAGAGAAGGACUAUUUAUAGACCUGAUCAGGUAGGGUUUUUAAAGUAUAAUGGAUUCAGAUAAGAUGUCCGGUCUUCCUGUAAUGAAAACAUAAAAGUUUAUAUUGAUUUACUAUGAUUGGGUAAAUGUAAUUCUUUAGUAAAAGAUGUCGGUAGAAUAUGUUAGGGUGUAGUAACUUAAGGAUGAAUAGUAGUUUCACAUGUGUCAAUGUACGGUAUCAAUUUUUAGAGCACAUGCUUGUUAGGUAGUAAUUCAAUAAGAUGACAAUAGAUGCUUCUGUCAUCAGUUUUCNUGGUGUGAUUAUUUUUAGAUUUGCGUGCCUGGUUUGGUAAGAGUUAUGAUUCGGAUAAUAUCUCCCUAUAUAGAUUAGGAGGUUAUGUUAAUUUUUUGUGGCAAUGAGAACUGAUUGGGAAUUUCUAUUACCAUGUGAGACAUAGGUAACUAGGAAUUACCGAAAAAGAAAGCCAUAUAGUUUGUCUCUAUGAUAAAGUUGGAAUUCUAAUAGAGAACUAGAACUUUGAAAGUUAUGAGAGUCCUGUUAUUUAUGUAGUAAAACUGUAGGAGCGGUUCGCAAGGGUGAUGUUUUUUAUCAAAGGAGUCUGGAAAAAGUCUUGGUGUCAUGGAAGAAAGUCGUAACGGUUUACAUUUAUACCGAUUAACUCACAAACUUGUUAGCAUUGUUCGUCAAUGCGUGGUUUACAGAAGAAAGGAAGAUCUAAUGUAAUUUGAAAGGCAUACCCUCAGAAUAUUAGAAUAUUAUGCAGGUGAAAUGAUAGUGUGUAUUAUAUAAUGCGACGGUGGUAGUAUUAUUUAUGAGAGGCUUUUAAGAAGAUUAAAACGGGUGUGAAGAAGAGGACAAUGGUACAACUAGUGUUGUCAUAGACACUUGGCGAAAAGUUUAACCGGAACAUGACUGUGUUGCUGACGUGGAUAGAAAGGCAUGAAGGUAAGAAAUGCAAAGAGUACACAGAAGAAAAAGUUAUGAAGAAGAGAGAACUUAUAACUCCUAAUUUGAGGCAACGUGUGGAUCUGUAACGUAUUAAUAAAUCUAGGGAUGAUUUAUGUGUGUGUGAAAGGUUGUUAUUUCCUUUUGUGAAUCAGUUGAAAAGGUUGUAUUAAACCUUAUGAUGGUAAGGAGUCAUAAAAAAGGGAUCAAAGAGUCAUAUGGAUUCGUGAGAGUAUAACAAUCUCUUGUUAAGAGCUUAAGGCAAGUAUUGAAUUGAGUAAGGAACUUAAUGAUCAAGUGACUGAUGAAAUAUGUGAUAUGAAACUUCAAGGACGUGUGACUCCUUGAUGUGAGGGACUAGUGUAUAAUUACAUCUCGUUAAUGUACUAGUUAUAGACCUGAGGUGCAAGGAUAUGAAACUUUUAGAAGCUGACUAGGUGAUCAACGAAUAGAUAUAAUGGUACACUUCCAAAUUCUCAUAUAGAGAAGGUAAUAAGAAGAAUAAGGAAAUUGGUUUGGUAAAACUUGUGAAUCGGGAAAUAGAAUGGUAAAGUGAGAACUACAUGAUAAUCAUUUGCAUGCAAUGUUAUGGCUCGCGUAUCACUACACACACAUAUCACUCGUUGUGAUUUGAAAAAAACAUGAUGUUGUUCGAAAUUGGAGUAUGAGAUGGGAAAUUCUAGUUGGGUAUGUUGGAAUACUAACGGUGUGUGAAUAAAGACAUUUAGGUAUCAUGUGUUAAGUAACAUUAGAACGUGUAAUGUGUAAUGUCUAGUGUACGAACAUUAUGCAAUUAUUAGACAAAGGAUGUAUUUGGAUUUGAUAGUUAUGGUUAGUUGUGGAGUGAUCAUGUUUGAUACUUCAUUAAAGAAGUUAGAAGGAAGCCCGGUAAGUGGUUGCCCAAUUACCGAUAAAAUUAGAGUACCUUAGUUGAAGCAUGAUGGGAAAGGGAUAUGGUAAUGGGAUGCGUAAAAGAUUCCAAUGGUGAAUCUGAUUUGGGGCAAAAAAAAAUCUGCUACAAUUUGGUCCAGUGUUUUUAGUUUAGUUAACACAAGUAUGAAUUCAACUUCUUCAACCGGUUGUGUGAAAAUUAGACUUCUGAAAGGUGUUUGUGUCAAGUGGCACAAAAGGUAUAGGCAUACUCCAUCAUGUUUUCACCCAUAACCAUGACUGAAAAUUUCGAAAUAUGUUUGUGAGGUUGAUUGAAGCAAUUGAUGAGACAAGGUUGGAUGAUGUUAUAAGUACUACCACAAUUGACUAAAACGGUAACGGUUUAGUUUUUAGGGAGAGGAAAACCCAAAAAACGUUGUCGUUGAAAAUGUAAGGAAUUGAUUUUUGGCGUAGUUGAGGUUCUCGGUAGUCGGUAUGGGUUCAAGGAGAUUGUCUUCGUCGAAGUGAUCUGCAUUGUCAACGACGAGCGUGAACUGUGGGAGGUUACACUCAUCGCACAAUGUUUUUUUUACUGAUUCAGGGGAUAAGAAGGAGAAUCGACGAGGAUGUUUUGGUGUGGGUAAGACGGUCAGCAUGGGUUAGGAAGUGGUAGUUGUUGGUGAUGAUGGUGUGAUACUGGUUGCUGGUAAAUUCUUGGGAUAUGUUAUAGUAGAUGAAGAACAUGAGUUUGGAAAGUGUGGUUUUGCAAAUCCGAGUUUAUCUUCCAAGAGUUUGACUAACCCAUAUGCUUGAUGAAGGGAAGUGGGGUGAUGAAGUGCUAACUCGUUCUGAAUGUUAGGAAUAUAGAAUUCAACAUAGAGAGUUGAGAGGAAGCAAUUUAGAAGGGAAUUGGUAUCGUGACUUGAGAGGAUGCAAUUGCUGACUUUUUCGAACUCUAAUUGAUAGGCCGAAACAAUGAGUAUUUUGAGAUUCAAUAAUCAAAAUUAUCAACAAUAAAACCAGGGUCAUCGCUCCUACUCUUUUCCCGGUUGAAAAGUUGAAAAAGUUGGCUAUUGAUCUUUUGAGGUAAAUCUAUUAUAUAUAUUUUUUUUAUUUCUCUUAGUUUUUUGGAAUCUGAUUCAUAUUGGUAUAGCAGCAUCAUAUUUUGUUAGUUUAAGCAAAAUAUUUGAUUAAAGGAUUAAAAUCCUUUAAGGCUUUUGUAGGAUGUAAUACUUUGAGCUAAAUAUCUGAUUACAUGAUUAAAAGAUUAGAAUCCUUUAAGACCUUUGCAGGCUGUUCUACUUUAAAUUAAUGACAGUUCAUGAUCAUUGCAUUUUUUUUAUUACAGGGUUAAAUGUGUCUUUUUAGUUACUAGAUGAAUAAUGAGCUCAUAAGUCCAAUUCAAUUAAAUAGUUGUGUUUGGUUUAUUUAGAUCCAUCAUUUGGGCAUUCUAUAUGCUUUAUUUCACAUAUGAAUAUCUUGAAAGUAGCUAAUAAAUAGGUUUGAUGCUUGGAGAUUCUCACACACACAGUAACCGUUGCUUUUACACUAUGUACUUGUAUGUUUUUGAGGUUGUCUAUACUUAAUCUCUUAUGAUCACUUGUUAGCCCUUUUUGGUGCUAUUCACAGACGUAACUAUGAUGAUACCAAAUAAUAUGAGCAAACUCUUACUAAACAGAUCAUGAAUGAUCAUACUUUCUUUGUUAAUGUUUACUACGAUUGGUAUUUGGUAUAGUUACUACUUGAUAUGGUUAUAGUUUUUCUUUUUAUUGUAAUAAAUUUUCUUUACUUUUUAUAUGAUUUAUUUUGAAAGUUGGAUUCGGCCCCCCUAGUUCAAAUGUCUGUGUUCCGCCCCUGUAUGUGGAGUUCCAUACUUGUGCUUCAAUCCUUGUAAUGGGCCUUUCAAACUUAUUUUUUGAUGGACUUCAGUUUGCUGACUCUUUUCUAGUGUAUGCGCGGUAUCACUUCCCCAUGGUUGAGUUGACAAUACCCUUAUAGCACUUAAUACCCCCAUUGUUGCCAUAUAAAUAAAUAAAUAAAUAAAUAAAUAAAUAAACUGAUGACAGCUUCUUGUUACACCCAUUAUCACCAUUUAAUUUUCAUACAUCGCUACAAAAAAUAUGGAUGAAUUUAAAUGUAUUAGAAGAAAUUCUUCUUCGCCAAACAAAUGCUCAUUAUGUGUGAUUGUAGAGUCAUAAUUGCUAUUUUUCCAUAACUAGUUCAUAUGGCUAACUUCAAAACAAAGAAAAAAAUAUUUUCAUUAUAUACAAUUCCAUACAACUUGUUUUUAACUAUAUUUAAGUGUAGCAAAAUUUAUCAUUAUUUACCAGAUAAUCAAUUAUCUAGUAUUGUGAAAGAACACCUACAAACUUAAUUCUUAUUUGGUGUAAUGGUUGACCAAAGAAAACAUGGGUUUUGAUGUCCUGAUCAUCUGAAGCCUCGUUUGAACAAUGUAAAGUGCGACUUAUGUUGUGUUGAUGCAGCUGGACUAUGAAGAUGUUUCCUAUUAUUUAAUUUUCUUACAUAUAUAAGAAGAAAUACGGCGAGUCAAAAUAUGUACAGUCCGUUAUGUCUACAAGAUUGUAGAGCGAUCAACCAUGCAAUGAAGAAAACAAAAACGAAAUUCAAGGUGGACAUAUUAGCAAACAGCCAAACUGAAAAUAUCCCAUUAGAAGUGUUUGAGAGUACAUGAUCAAGACACCUAGUGCACAAGGGUGCUUAUUGUAAUUAUAUUUAGGAAACAAGAUACGAUCUUAAAACGUAAAGCAAUAAUACGAGUUGAACAUCAAAACAAGAUAACACAACAAUUUCACAAACACACACUACUAGAAACUUGAGUUUCAGCUACGGAUUUAGAGAGAGAUUUAUUCCGUAGCAAAAUUUUGGUUUAUAGAGAGGGAAUUACGAGAGAUCUACGAUGGUUUAAAAAAGUAUUUUAUUUAUUCAACAUAUAGCGAAUUAGAGAGGGUUUAGCGAGUGAUAAGUUACGGAUCUUACAAGUCUUUAUCGACGCGCCCUUAUUCGUCGGUAAUCGGUGGAAAACGAAGGCAUUUGGCGAGGGUUCAACGAGGGAAAAAAAAUCGGCGACUUUUUGUCUUCUGGUAUGUAUUUAGCGAGAGAAUGCCGAUGGAGCAUACACACGUUAUGUUUUUUUAAUUGAAGAUCUCUCGCUGAUUGACAAAUCCAAUUCCAGUUUCACGAAGUUUGUGUAAGUCUCCUUCCCUCCCAAAUCUGCUUUAUCACUCCAAUUGAACACGAAGUUUGUGUAAGUUUGACUCUCGAGUUGCAGCUUAACCUAAUCUCACCAUCUCCGUUCAAACAGAUGACGACACCAUGGACCAUUGCAGCUUCGGAUUCCGACAGCCUCCACAUUUUUGAAACCUAAAAUUAUUCUUCCUUAACUUCCGAUUCAGGUAAACCUGUUGAUUUUAUUUGCUUUAGUCAUAUAUUAGGUUAGGUUUGGUUCAAUUGCACAAUAUAUUACGUUAGGGUUUAAUUUCUCCAUUUUUUUCCUUUUUCAAUCGUCAUUCCUCUUAUAUCGAUUGCAUCUAUAUUAGAAUAGAUACUUAGAAUUAGAACUUGAUAUAGGGCUUGAUUGGUUGCUUUAGUCCUAUAUAAACCUGGUAGCAUAAGUUUUGUGCAUCAAAGCUUCACCUUGAAGCUCUCCUGUCAUCUCUGUACAUGCAUCCACAUGCUCUGCAACAAGCCCAACAACACCAGUUUCAUAGGCAAUCAUAGUAAACUGAUAAAUCCUCCAAUCCGUGUCAGCUGUUUUCACCUGUGUAAUAUGCCUAAAUGCAAGUCAAAAUAAGUUUACUGAUCAAGUAAAAAAACAUUAUAUAGAAUGCCCUAAAGUGAUCAAGGUCUAUGGGAUUUUGAAAUAGUGGUGGAGACAAAUUCUUAUUACUAGUAUGUCCAUGGAGAACUUUUUUUAAGGUGGGAAACCUAGGAUCCCUAUCACAAGAUCAAACAGGCUGUCAAUAGCAAGCUGUCACUAUUGUUCUCAUGGCUUUAUUGUGUUAUGUGGAGACUUUGUAACGAGGUUGAAUUGAAGAAAAAAAAAGAUAAAUAUAAAAGAAAGAAAGAUGAUAGUUAAAUGUAUGAGAGGUAAAAAUGUAAAACAUACAGCAGGGGUUUUUGACAUUCUUUGAAAAUGGGGAAGACUUCUAUCUAUGAAUCCGUUUGGAGCUCGUUGACCUCCUACUGAUUUGUUGACCAACACAUGCAAUCAUUUGACUUAUGUUGAUUGUUUGGAAAAGAAAUUAAUUCUAUUGAAUUUGUUGUUCAUAGAGUUAUGGAAGAUAUUAGAUUGAAGUUAUUUGGUCUUAAAUUUGGUUAUUUGGGGCUGAAUAUAGAGAUUUGUAAAAGUUGGAACAUCCCAAUCAAAAAUGUCAAUGGUUCUGAUGGGGAUUGAUUUGAAUUGUUUUUUGGUUAAAAGGAAGUGCUGGCAGGUUUGCUGUCGUGGUUUCAGGUUGAUGAGAAUAAGGAUGGAUUAUAAUAAAUGUGUUGUUUUGAGCAAUUGGCUUAAAGGGUAUUUUUGUCAAUUUUAGAAAAUAAGAAAUUUAGAAGAAGGUAUCGUGAGUUGCAAUUUCAAAAGUAUCUAUUUUUCUUUGAUCUUUUUGGAUUCUUGGUGGGAUAAUAUUUUGAAGAAUAGAGAUUGCUGGAUGCGAAUUCAAGAACAAGGUCUGAUUGUGAUUUUUUUGGAUAAUGAGGAGGAUUGGAUUUUUUUAUCUCAGGCAUGCUAUCGCACGAUCAUAUGGAGGGAGGGAUACUUGCGAUUUGGAGAUUUUUAUUACUGGGAUGGGAGAAUUUUGGGUCAGGGGCAUAUUGGGUAUAUCCUAAUUUUUGGUGAGUUUCGUUUCUGGUCGGAAAAGAUUGCUGGUCGGUGUAGGGUGAAUAGUACUUGGGAUCUUUGUUUUAAUGGAGGUUUAAGUGGUGAGGGCAUUUUGGGAAUUUCUUUUUUCCUCAAUGAAUUUUGGGGCUGGAGCGAUCUGAUUGCUAGUUGGAUUGCUGUGCAUAUUAAUUGCUUCCAUGUAUUCGAUUUCCUUUUCAUAUAUUCUUCUGGGUUUUUUUAUUAUCGGAAAUGGUGGGAGUUCUUUUUUGACUGUUCUGAGAAGAAAGGUGUGAGGCAAUUUAAUCAAUUUUUUAUUAUGGCGGUUUGGACCUGUGAUUGGCAUUUGAAGAAUGAUGUUCGGAUUGGGAGUCAUAUUUGGUAUUGUUUUGAUCCUUUGGAUGUUGAACAUGAGGUGAAUAAAAGUUAUUGGGUUGUAAAUAUGGCUCACGUUGUUCGAUUUUUUGGAGUUGGAACCAGGGGCAUUUUGGUCAUAUAUAUAGAGAGAUUGUGUUAGAAUGAUUGAGAAGGGGUUUAAACGUGAUAAGGAUUGGGUUCUGACUUUAUUCAUUUGUUAUUACACGCAUGAAGAGAGGUUUUAUGGGAAUGGGAAGUUUUAUAUUCAGGGGUAUUUAAGGAAUAUUCGAAAGCCUAAAAUGUAGUUUAUUAUAAAGGGUUUUGCUUUUUUUUUUUUUUAUGUUUUAUGUGCUUUACAUUAUGUUUAUUUCUUUAUAUUUAUUAAAUAGGAGGUGGGAGUGAAGAAGUUCCAGUCGUGCUUUACCCAUAGUUCAAGAGAGAAGCAACUGUUGAGCCUCUGUUCUCCUCUGUUCUCUGUUCAAACAGGUGUGAUUAUUUUAUAUUUGAUCAAAUAUUUAUUUGGUUUUAGUUGUGACAAAAAUAUUUAUAAUAGUCGUGACACUUAAGUUUAUCCUCUGUUCUCCGUUCAAAAAUAUUUUAGUUGGUUGAUUGUUUUGUAAUUAAGUUCCCUGCAUGCUUGUUAACUGGAUCUGGUUACAGAAAAAAAAAGAACAAAAAAAUAUUUUUCAUUCUGAUCAAAAUUGAAAUGCAUUGGAUGUUAUUUUGUUUGCCCCUGGUUUGCUUUUCUCUUUUCUGACCAUUUUACCCCUGGACAUCAAUGCAUGGAUCUUUGCUCUAUUUUGGUAACAUAAGCCCCUCUGCGAUUUUUUUUCUCCCUGUGGUUUCAUUUUGUUUUGGAAUUAUAUGGUAAAAUGAUGAAUUUUCCAUAAAUCCUUAGAUGCAUGUGAUAGAACAACUUUAAUGUCUUCAAGUUUCAGCCCCUUUCCUUGAAUUGCCAAACAAUUGGAACAAAUACCAAAAUACCCUUUUAACCCUACAAUUUCACAAGAAAAGUUUCAAUUUCAAUUCCAAUUCUAAUUCCUUCAAUACCAACUCUUUAUCUACUUCCUUGAUUUGUGAGAUUUGUGACAUUUUUCAAUAGAUUCACAUGGACCUUCUUUCUGCAACAACAUUGCCCCUGCUUCUUAAUCCAAAAAAAUCGAAAAUAGAACAUAAUAUUUACAACUUCUCAAUUCCAAUUCCAAUUCCAAUUCCUUCAAUACCAACUCUUUAGAUAGAUUCCAUUCCUUCCUAAAAAACAUUAACUCUCUUAACAAACCAAUGCUGCAAUCAACCUUCUUGUCCUUAACUCUCUUAGCCUUGUUCUUCCUUCUUUUCGGCUUCUCUUCGGCUUCAGUGUCAUGUCAUUCACAGAGAGCUCCUCGACAUUAUCCUCUUCAACAAGCCUGUGCAAAAACUUGGGUCAUUAAUCACUCAUAUAUACAAUAAUGUAAAUUCCCAUUAUUUCGUUAAUUAACCUUGUUUAACUCACGUGUAUGUGUGUAUGCAUGCUUCAUUUCUGUAAUUUGAUAAUUCAUAUUUUCUGUAAAACUUCAUUUCCUUUCUGUAUCUGUAAUAAAAUAAUUACUUUUUUUUAACAUCUCCCUAAUUGCCCUGAUUCUAUGGGACCAGGGAGCUUCUGAAAGGUGAAUCAGAGGGACUUUUGAAACUUCCUGCAUUCCGCCCUUAUGUUGAGCUCUAUGCAAAGGUAUAUUGUGAACUUAUUAUUAUUAUAAUAUAAUAACCAAAUGUGAUGCCAAGUAAACUUUGAUCUUUUAUUCACUCGGUAGAAACUAGAGAGGUUCCUUCCACAGGAAACCUAAAAGUGCACACUAAACGUGCACUUUUAAAACAAAGCCAUUCCCAUUGCUUUAAUUAAGUAGAAUUUUAAUAUAAAAUGCUACGUUUUAACAGAAUUUAGUUUAAAGCCAUGUCAUAAUUGUUUAUAGGUUUGACUGAAAGUGUGAUCCAAACUUCCAUCAGUGAAAAACUUUUUAGUUUUUAAGUUAAACCUUUGGGAGUUUGAAGUUAUAUGGAUAGUUUUGGUUUUGGAUGUUUUUUGAAUGAUACUUUGGUAAACUUUGAUAGUUUUGGUAUUGUAAUGUUUGGUUGUAUUGUUAUUCGAUGUUUUUUAGUAUAAAAAUUUGAUGAUUGUAGUAUUUUUUUCUUUUAGAAUCAUAAAAAAAAAUGAUAUUACAAGUUCGCGACGGAUUGGUGAGAAUAAAAAAAGUACUUUAAUGCAUCAAUUUUGCGAGGGAUUAGCUACGAAAAAAAUAUCAUGUCUAAAGUUUGCGACGGAUCAGUGAUGGAACAAAAAAUUAAUGCCCUGAGAUAAUGUAUUGAGUGACAUUUAGCGACGGAUAUUCUGUCGCUACAUUUGUCGCAAGGAAAAAUCUCUCCAUCGCUAAAACCCUCUCUGAGAAAUUAGCCACCUAUUAAUUACCUAUGGAGUGAAUCCGUCGCUGAUCCAUCGCAAACAACAUUUAGCGACGGAAUAGCAACGGAUACUUCCGUCUCUAAAACUCAUGUUUCUAGUAGUGACAUCUCUCAGGCUUCUUUAUUUUGACAAGGUUAUGUAUGAGGCUGCAAA